UACGUAGGGUGCAAGCGUUAAUCGGAAUUACUGGGCGUAAAGCGUGCGCAGGCGGUUUUGUAAGUCUGACGUGAAAUCCCCGGGCUCAACCUGGGAAUUGCGUUGGAGACUGCAAGGCUGGAGUCUGGCAGAGAGGGGUAGAAUUCCACGUGUAGCAGUGAAAUGCGUAGAGACGUGGAGGAACACCGAUGGCGAAGGCAGCCCCCUGGGUCAAGACUGACGCUCAUGCACGAAAGCGUGGGGAGCAAACAGG
rnacentral:rRNA from 1 species